rnacentral:lncRNA from 1 species
GGAAGGGCCUGGGGCAGAUGUAAACGAUAAGCUUUGUUUUUAUACCUUUGUAGUAUCUCAUUUCGUUUGUCACAACCAGUAUGGUUUGAAAGGUAUCAAGUGAAGUACAAGAAAUUAAUCAUUUACUAAUCCUCUCUGUCUCUCCCUCCUCACAACUGCCUUUUGCUCCCAGCCAGCAAAUCCAGAGAGAAAACCAACCUGCUGCUAUUGGCAGUGCAACCUGAAGCAGGUAAAGAGCGGGAGGCAACUUAUGUUGGGGUCUUCUGUGGGCCGGGCACCGUGCAUACGUCAGGCGCACACACACAUCGACCUGCAGACUCGGCGUCUUCUCCAGGGAUCACGUGCAGGAGACGGUCCCAGCUUCCCGCAGGGCUGGGGCUGCUCUCCCACCGCCUUACCUCUGAGACAGGGCUGGGGUCAGGAUGGAGCUGGGGUCCAGGGCGCGAGGUGCCCAUCAGGGAGGCAGGCGCCACCCCGGGCGGGAUGACAGACUCCAGAAGCCCUCCCUGAACAAAGACUGGGUGGGAGGCGGCCUGGUGUGUCCCCACCCCGCCUCCCCCAGCGCCUGCUGAGCCGCGACCACAGACAGCGAGGCGGAGCGAGCAUGGCGGGGGCCCCGGCCGCUCUGCUGCCCCUCGUCCUCCAGCUCACGAGCGUGGCCGUGGCCUCCGCGACGGACGGAGGUAAGUCGGGGCGCUGAGGGCCUGGGGGCGGCCG